CCAGGGUAUCUAAUCCUGUUUGCUCCCCACGCUUUCGCGCCUCAGCGUCAGUAUCGGACCAGUUGGCCGCCUUCGCCACUGGUGUUCUUGCGAAUAUCUACGAAUUUCACCUCUACACUCGCAGUUCCACCAACCUCUUCCGAACUCAAGACUCUCAGUAUCGAAGGCAAUUCCAGGGUUGAGCCCUGGGCUUUCACCCCCGACUUAAGAGUCCGCCUACGCGCCCUUUACGCCCAGUGAUUCCGAGCAACGCUAGCCCCCUUCGUAUUACCGCGGCUGCUGGCACGAAGUUAGCCGGGGCUUAUUCUUCCGGUACAGUCAUUAUCUUCCCGGACAAAAGAGCUUUACAACCCUAAGGCCUUCAUCACUCACGCGGCAUGGCUGGAUCAGGCUUGCGCCCAUUGUCCAAUAUUCCCCACUGCUGCCUCCCGUAGGAGUUUGGGCCGUGUCUCAGUCCCAAUGUGGCUGAUCAUCCUCUCAGACCAGCUACUGAUCGUCGCCUUGGUGAGCCAUUACCUCACCAACUAGCUAAUCAGACGCGGGCCGAUCUAUCGGCGAUAAAUCUUUCCCCCGAAGGGCGUAUCCGGUAUUAGUCCAAGUUUCCCUGAAUUAUUCCGAACCGAAAGGUACGUUCCCACGUGUUACUCACCCGUCUGCCACUAGCACCGAAGUGCCCGUUC
rnacentral:rRNA from 1 species